rnacentral:rRNA from 1 species
CCGGCGACCGGCGCACGGGUGAGUAACACGUAUGUAACCUGCCCUAUGCAGGGGGAUAACCCGGAGAAAUCCGGACUAAUACCGCGUGGUACAUCUGUGGGGCAUCCCACGGGUGUUAAAAGGAAGCGAUUCCGGCGGAGGAUGGGCAUGCGGCGCAUUAGCUAGUUGGCGGGGUAACGGCCCACCAAGGCGACGAUGCGUAGGGGUUCUGAGAGGAAGGUCCCCCACACUGGUACUGAGACACGGACCAGACUCCUACGGAAGGCAGCAG